GUUGAUCUCUAUUUGGAAGAACUUGAGGAGAGUGUUGAUUCGCAAAAGCAAGUUGAAAAGCCUAUGAAUACUCUCUCUCUCUGACUCUCUCCAUGCAUUGAUUCUCUUGAUCAUCCAGGGGAAUUUUGAUGAGGAUGGCAGUGAAUUAGAAAUUCCGGAUGUUUUGUUUGCAGCCUGGAGAGCUUGUUGCCUAAUAGAUUGCAG
rnacentral:misc_RNA from 1 species